rnacentral:rRNA from 1 species
UACAGAGGGGGCAAGCGUUGUUCGGAAUUACUGGGCGUAAAGGGCGCGUAGGCGGCCUUCUAAGUCGAACGUGAAAUCCCCGGGCUCAACCCGGGAACUGCGUCCGAUACUGAAAGGCUUGAAUCCGGGAGAGGGAUGCGGAAUUCCAGGUGUAGCGGUGAAAUUCGUAGAUAUUCGGAAGAACACCAGUGGCGAAGGCGGCUCACUGGCCCGGUACUGACGCUGAUGUGCGAAAGCGUGGGGAGCAAACAGG